UUGUGCCAGGUCUAAGGACAGCACUGGGCUUUUUCAUUCCGGACACAUGUUCCAGACAUUUCAUUUCAGACAUACAUACAGCAAGACUGGAUUUCCUAAGCUCUUUGGACCAUGAGAUUGAGUUAUGGCUAGUGAAUGUUGGCUACUUCUUGCCCUGACCCAUGAAAAUCUCCCACAGAAUUCUUUGUACUCUAUUUUUUCCCCAUUCACUGGAUAAAUGGAGAAGAUUCUAAAACCCUAGAGGAGAAUAGGAUCACAGAUGGAACAAGCUUCAGUCCCUGAAGCUUGGAGCAGAGCCUCCAUUCAACUUCCACCACCAAUUGGAUUUUACAAGAAAGACACACAAAGAAACACUGUGAAAAUCCUCUUGACUGAUGGAGAGAUGAGACAUCCUCCCCGCCAACCAGGAAGAUUCUAAUGGAGGAGACACUCAGUCCUCAGACAGGGACUGCUCCUUCAGUGUGGCUGCCCAGAGACGACAACGUGGAACACAGUUGAGGCUGACCUGUUACGAUCAUUAACAUGAG